rnacentral:rRNA from 1 species
GACGAACGCUGGCGGCGUGCUUAACACAUGCAAGUCGAACGGAAAGGCCCUGCUUUUGUGGGGUGCUCGAGUGGCGAACGGGUGAGUAACACGUGAGUAACCUGCCCUUGACUUUGGGAUAACUUCAGGAAACUGGGGCUAAUACCGGAUAGGAGCUCCUGCUGCAUGGUGGGGGUUGGAAAGUUUCGGCGGUUGGGGAUGGACCCGCGGCUUAUCAGCUUGUUGGUGGGGUAGUGGCUUACCAAGGCUUUGACGGGUAGCCGGCCUGAGAGGGUGACCGGCCACAUUGGGACUGAGAUACGGCCCAGACUCCUACGGGAGGCAGCAGUGGGGAAUAUUGCACAAUGGGCGGAAGCCUGAUGCAGCAACGCCGCGUGCGGGAUGACGGCCUUCGGGUUGUAAACCGCUUUCGCCUGUGACGAAGCGUGAGUGACGGUAAUGGGUAAAGAAGCACCGGCUAACUACGUGCCAGCAGCCGCGGUGAUACGUAGGGUGCGAGCGUUGUCCGGAUUUAUUGGGCGUAAAGGGCUCGUAGGUGGUUGAUCGCGUCGGAAGUGUAAUCUUGGGGCUUAACCCUGAGCGUGCUUUCGAUACGGGUUGACUUGAGGAAGGUAGGGGAGAAUGGAAUUCCUGGUGGAGCGGUGGAAUGCGCAGAUAUCAGGAGGAACACCAGUGGCGAAGGCGGUUCUCUGGGCCUUUCCUGACGCUGAGGAGCGAAAGCGUGGGGAGCGAACAGGCUUAGAUACCCUGGUAGUCCACGCUGUAAACGGUGGGUACUAGGUGUGGGGUCCAUUCCACGGGUUCCGUGCCGUAGCUAACGCUUUAAGUACCCCGCCUGGGGAGUACGGCCGCAAGGCUAAAACUCAAAGGAAUUGACGGGGCCCCGCACAAGCGGCGGAGCAUGCGGAUUAAUUCGAUGCAACGCGUAGAACCUUACCUGGGUUUGACAUGGAUCGGGAGUGCUCAGAGAUGGGUGUGCCUCUUUUGGGGUCGGUUCACAGGUGGUGCAUGGCUGUCGUCAGCUCGUGUCGUGAGAUGUUGGGUUAAGUCCCGCAACGAGCGCAACCCUUGUUCACUGUUGCCAGCACGUUAUGGUGGGGACUCAGUGGAGACCGCCGGGGUCAACUCGGAGGAAGGUGGGGAUGACGUCAAGUCAUCAUGCCCCUUAUGUCCAGGGCUUCACGCAUGCUACAAUGGCUGGUACAGAGAGUGGCGAGCCUGUGAGGGUGAGCGAAUCUCGGAAAGCCGGUCUCAGUUCGGAUUGGGGUCUGCAACUCGACCUCAUGAAGUCGGAGUCGCUAGUAAUCGCAGAUCAGCAACGCUGCGGUGAAUACGUUCCCGGG